rnacentral:rRNA from 1 species
CAGCAGCCGCGGUAAUACCGGCGGCCCGAGUGGCGGUCACUAUUAUUGGGCUUAAAGCGUCCGUAGCCGGGUUGGGAAGUCCUCCGGGAAAUCUGGCCGCUUAACGGUCAGAAUGCCGGAGGAUACUCCCAGCCUAGGGAGCGGGAGAGGCCGAGGGGAUUCCCGGAGUAGGGGUGAAAUCCUAUAAUCCCGGGAGGACCACCUGUGGCGAAGGCGCUCGGCUGGAACGCGUCCGACGGUGAGGGACGAAGGCCAGGGGAGCAAACCGGAUUAGAUACCCGGGUAGUCCCGGCUGUAAACGAUGCGGACUUUGUGUCGGACAAGCUAUGAGCUUGUCCGGUGCCGGAGGGAAACCGUUAAGUCCGCCGCCUGGGGAGUACGGCCGCAAGGCUGAAACUUAAAGGAAUUGGCGGG